GAUGAACGCUAGCGACAGGCCUAACACAUGCAAGUCGAGGGGCAGCACAAGGAGCAAUCUGAGGUGGCGACCGGCGCACGGGUGAGUAACACGUAUGCAACCUGCCUGUAAGAGGGGAAUAACCCGUUGAAAGACGGACUAAUACCGCAUAAAACUGGGAAUCUGCAUGGAUAUUCAGUUAAACAUUUAUGGCUUACAGAUGGGCAUGCGCAUGAUUAGAUAGUUGGAGAGGUAACGGCUCCCCAAGUCAACGAUCAUUAGGGGUUCUGAGAGGAAGGUCCCCCACACUGGUACUGAGACACGGACCAGACUCCUACGGGAGGCAGCAGUGAGGAAUAUUGGUCAAUGGACGCAAGUCUGAACCAGCCACGUCGCGUGAAGGAAGACGGCCCUACG
rnacentral:rRNA from 1 species